rnacentral:lncRNA from 1 species
GGGAGCCCGGAAACCUGGUAUGCCAGCAAAAAGGGCUGGAGUGCAAUGACAUGAUCUCAGCUGACUGCAACCUCUGCCUCCCCGGGUUCAAGCCAUUCUCCUGCCUCAGCCUCCUGAGCAGCUGGGAUUACAGGUCUUUAGAUGAACUUUUCAACCAACUGCCAAUCAGAAAAUCUGUGAAUCCACCUGUGAUCUGGAAGCCCUUGCUUCCUGGUGUCCCACCUUUCCAGUCUGAACUGAUGUACAGCUUAAAUGUAUUGAUUGAUGCCUUAUGCCCCAUAGAAUGUAUAAAACCUAGCUGUGCCCUGACCACCUGGGCCACACGUUCUCCGGGUCUCCUGAGGACUGUGUCAUGGACCACGAUCACUCACGUUUGGCUAGGAAUAAAUCUCUCCAAUGUUUU